AUUUUAACUUCACAGCAGAUUCCAUUGUAAGAAUAUUAUAUUGCCUAGUUGCAUUUUUUCUUUCUGAUUGUCAGCAAGUGAUGUCUGAACUUAUAUCAUUAUCUACUGAAUGAUAUUUUACCCAUUAAAAUGUCUAUUUUUGUUUUUUCACGUCUUUCUUCUAAUCACAAUUUCUCUUUUUGGUUGUGCUGUUAAGCUUUUUGUAUUACCAUUACACAUUAAAGUUCACUCUCACCAUUUCUCCUUCUCAUCAUCACUAGUUUACAGUGUGAAAACUAACGCACAUGUGCACAAGCCAGUUGAAUGAACAGUAAAAAGGUUACAGAUCUUGAAAACCGCAUUUUAUGAUGAUUAUAGCAUAUUGCAACCUUUUUCCUGCUAACCGAUUGUUAAACCCUAGGUUCCUAGUAAAUCAAUAUUCAAUAUAGUAGGAAUCUUUGAUUCUCUGAGGAUAUGGUGCAACCCUAAAAUUUAAAACUGCAAAACUGCGCUGGAGAAUGAAAGCUGUGAAUUACAGUUGCUGGUGAGUGGUAGCAGUUGUGGUAUGAUGGUGAUGAGAUAUUGGCGUCAUCAUAUUGAAAUUUGCACAAAAAAACGCAGGUUCACACAAUUGAUGGCUCAUGCAUGCCUAAAAUAUCUAAUUGUGUUAUGUCGGAGUUAGACUGGUCAUCUAUUGCAAAGUGGACAUUGAGAGAAGCAAAUUGGAGGUGGAGAAUUUCACAUAUUUAAAAAGAUAAAUUAGAGAAGCAUAUCGAUAAUGGAUUUGAUAAAUCAAUAUAAAGGAGAGAAGAAUUAUGGACCACUAGACGGCCAAAAUUUUGCUCUUGUUAAACAUGUGGCAUGUGGGAUGGACACAUAGAUAGGUAUACGAUGCAUGUAGUGCAGAAAAUGACAUUAGACAUGGAGAAGAGUGAGAGUGGAUGAGGUGGAGAAUAAGAAAUAAAUCGGUUAGAUUUGAAUGCCAAUAAGAAAUAAAUCGGUUAGAUUUGAAUGCCUUGUUAAGUUAGAGGUGGCAUCAACUGAGUACUGUUUAAGAGAAAGCUAAGAAUCUUUCUUGUUUGCUUUGAGGCUAUUAAUAGCACAAGAAAAUGGGAUUUACCACCUAGAAGAGGAAGGGAAAGGCUGAAGAGAAUAUUUGAUGAGGCUGUGGGAUAAGACAUGAUGGCUAAUGGUUUACCAAAAUUCAUGCUCUUAGACACUAGAUUGAGGAUUGUGUUAUUCUUGAAAAAGAUAUACAAGUCCAGCAUGUGUUAUUCUUUGAAUAGUUGCUUCUGAUUUUUUCUUUUUUUUUGAUAUUUUUAAAUAUUUCUGCUGGAAAAGUUCUGAUUUGUCAAUAUUUACCUGAUUUAGUUCUAAACAUAGUUAUAGAAAAUUGGAGAGACCUUUAGGGUGCAUUUGAUGUGUGAGAAUGGCAAACACAAGAUAAGUUAAUCUCACCUUGUCCUAUGUUCGUUGCCCCUUUUGAACCAAAACAA
rnacentral:misc_RNA from 1 species